UGGUGGCGCAUGCCUGUAAUCCCAGCUACUC
rnacentral:piRNA from 1 species